AUGAAUUCACAGCUGGUUGUCUUCACAGACAAGGAAGCUCCUUCCUCGCCUUGGAGUGACAUUUGUGAGGCAAACAGAACACUCAGAAAGUUCAAGCGCGUCAAGGUACUGGAUUUGACGGAUACCCACAUAACUCGGCUGCCUGAUAGUGUCGGUGAGCUCAAACAUCUGCGAUACCUAGGUUUUCCUAACACCGUGGAGCAGCCUCGUGCUGAUGGCAAUAAGAUCACCAAGCUACUACUCCUUGAGACAGUGUACGUCAGCAAGCCUCGGUCGCCAGCGGCUGAUAUGGACAUGGAGAUGGACAUGGAGGGCAUCGCCAAGAUUGGUGGCAUUGGAAAGUUAGAGAAACUGCAAGGGUCGCUCGAAUUUCAUGUCCACAAUAAAAACCAUAAAAAUGGACAUACCAUGUUGGAGCUUGGGAAGAUGAACUCUAUUAGCAGGACCCUGAGCAUAAAGGGCGUUCAAGCCGUCCAAACCAAGAAAGAAGCGCAGGAGGCUCGACUUGCAAUAAAAGCAUCUCUCCAAGUCCUCAAGCUUGAUUGGGAGAACGAUGCAGAUGAUCCAUGUAAAGGUAAAGGUAAUGGUUGCCUUGUUGUUCUUGGAGGCCUCCAACCUGAUGCCAAUCUCCGUGAGCUGCAUAUCACGAGGUACCCUGGGAAGAAGCUGCCUGCCUGGCUGUGGCAGAUGACAAACCUGACCAGCCUGUACCUUACCAGCUGCACCUGCUGCACAUGCCAACCAAGAGUACCGUCCUCUUCAGUCAACAGUGGCCAACAGGGCUCUGCACCGUGGCCGUCCCCUGUCCAUCAAGCAAGAGUACCGCCUUCUUCCGUCAACAGUGGCCAACAGGGCUUUGCACCGCGGCCGCCCCCUGUCCAGCAACCAAGAGUACUGCCCUCUUCCCUCAACAGUGGCCAGCAAGCCUUUGCACCGCGGCCACAAUCACAAUAUGCUGAAAUAUGUAUUUUUUUUUUAUCAAAUGUGCUUGCCUCUGUCCCCUAUGCCGAAAUCCUGGCUGUGCCCCUGAGCUCCACUGCCUCUACAAGAUCCAUAUUAUGCUGA
rnacentral:rRNA from 1 species